rnacentral:rRNA from 1 species
CCCGUCUCAAGGGGAUAACACUUGGAAACAGGUGCUAAUACCGUAGAACAAUCGAAACCGCACGGUUUUGAUUUGAAAGGCGCUUUCGGGUGUCGCUGAUGGAUGGACCCGCGGUGCAUUAGCUAGUUGGUGAGGUAACGGCUCACCAAGGCCACGAUGCAUAGCCAACCUGAGAGGGUGAUCGGCCACAUUGGGACUGAGACACGGCCCAAACUCCUACGGGAGGCAGCAGUAGGGAAUCUUCGGCAAUGGACGAAAGUCUGACCGAGCAACGCCGCGUGAGUGAAGAAGGUUUUCGGAUCGUAAAACUCUGUUGUUAGAGAAGAACAAGGAUGAGAGUAACUGUUCAUCCCUUGACGGUAUCUAACCAGAAAGCCACGGCUAACUACGUGCCAGCAGCCGCGGUAAUACGUAGGUGGCAAGCGUUGUCCGGAUUUAUUGGGCGUAAAGCGAGCGCAGGCGGUUUCUUAAGUCUGAUGUGAAAGCCCCCGGCUCAACCGGGGAGGGUCAUUGGAAACUGGGAGACUUGAGUGCAGAAGAGGAGAGUGGAAUUCCAUGUGUAGCGGUGAAAUGCGUAGAUAUAUGGAGGAACACCAGUGGCGAAAGCGGCUCUCUGGUCUGUAACUGACGCUGAGGCUCGAAAGCGUGGGGAGCAAACAGGAUUAGAUACCCUGGUAGUCCACGCCGUAACGAUGAGUGCUAAGUGUUGGAGGGUUUCCGCCCUUCAGUGCUGCAGCUAACGCAUAAGCACUCCGCCUGGGGGAGUACGACCGCAAGGUUGAAACUCAAAGGAAUUGACGGGGGCCCGCACAAGCGUUGA